AUGAGUCGGUGAGCGAGUCACGGGAGAAUAUCCUGAGGAAACUCCUCUCUCCAAGCAGAAGCGUGGCGCCACGAGGCGCGGUGGGAGACUGUCGGCAACAGAACAGAAACGAACCCAACUCAAUUAAACAAUGAAGAGGUAUCUCGGAGGUUCCUGAGAAGGGAUGAAACGGCUGACCCGCGUGGAGUAAGGCCAAACAGAAGCCUAUGAAAUCUGCAUGAGGCUCGGGUAGGCCGCUUAGCGAAAUCUCGCUUAAAACAGAAAGAGGGUUAAGUGUUGUUGGAU
rnacentral:RNase_P_RNA from 1 species